GAUGAACGCUGGCGGCGUGCUUAACACAUGCAAGUCGAACGGAAAGGCCCUGCUCUUGUGGGGUGCUCGAGUGGCGAACGGGUGAGUAACACGUGAGUAACCUGCCCUUGACUUUGGGAGAACUUCACGAAACUGGGGCUAAUACCGGGUAGGAGCUCCUGCUGCAUGGUGGGGGUUGGAAAGUUUCGGCGGUUGGGGAUGGACUCGCGGCUUAUGAGCUUGUUGGUGGGGUAGUGGUUUACCAAGGCUUAGACGGGUAGCCGGCCUGAGAGGGGGACCGGGCACAAGGGUACUGAGAUAGGGAGCAGACUCGGAUGGGCGGCAGCAGGGGAGAAUAUGACACAGCGGGCGGAAGCCUGAGGCAGCAAUGCCGCGAGCGGGAAGACGGGCUUCGAGUGGUAAACCGAUUUCGCCUGUAAUGAACCGUGAGUGACGGUAAUGGGUAAAAAAGCACCGGCUAACUACGUG
rnacentral:rRNA from 1 species